CAGCCGCCGCGGGAAUACGAAGGGGGCUAGCGUUGUUCGGAAUUACUGGGCGUAAAGCGCACGUAGGCGGAUAUUUAAGUCAGGGGUGAAAUCCCAGAGCUCAACUCUGGAACUGCCUUUGAUACUGGGUAUCUUGAGUAUGGAAGAGGUGAGUGGAAUUCCGAGUGUAGAGGUGAAAUUCGUAGAUAUUCGGAGGAACACCAGUGGCGAAGGCGGCUCACUGGUCCAUUACUGACGCUGAGGUGCGAAAGCGUGGGGAGCAAACAGGAUUAGAUACCCCGGUAGUCCCUGUCUCUUAUAA
rnacentral:rRNA from 1 species